AUCCAGAGAAUUUAGCAGAGAUGCUUUAGUGCCUUCGGGAACUCUGAGACAGGUGCUGCAUGGCUGUCGUCAGCUCGUGUUGUGAAAUGUUGGGUUAAGUUCCGNAACGAGCGCAACCCUUAUCCUUUGUUGCCAGCACGUAAUGGUGGGAACUCAAAGGAGACUGCCGGUGAUAAACCGGAGGAAGGUGGGGAUGACGUCAAGUCAUCAUGGCCCUUACGAGUAGGGCUACACACGUGCUACAAUGGCGCAUACAAAGAGAAGCGACCUCGCGAGAGCAAGCGGACCUCAUAAAGUGCGUCGUAGUCCGGAUUGGAGUCUGCAACUCGACUCCAUGAAGUCGGAAUCGCUAGUAAUCGUAAAUCAGAAUGUUACGGUGAAUACGUUCCCGGGCCUUGUACACACCGCCCGUCACACCAUGGGAGUGGGUUGCAAAAGAAGUAGAUAGCUUAACCUUCGGGAGGGCGUUUACCACUUUGUGAUUCAUGACUGGGGUGAAGUCGUAACAAGGUAAGCGUAGUGCU
rnacentral:rRNA from 1 species